rnacentral:tRNA from 1 species
CCUUAUCGAGAUCUCAGCUUCUUCAUAAGCUCCCACACGAAUUGCUUGAUUCACUGGUUAGACGAUUGGGUCUGUAGCUCAGUUGGUUAGAGCGCACCCCUGAUAAGGGUGAGGUCGGCAGUUCGAAUCUGCCCAGACCCACCAAUUGUUGGUGUGCUGCGUGAUCCGAUACGGGGCCAUAGCUCAGCUGGGAGAGCGCCUGCUUUGCACGCAGGAGGUCAGGAGUUCGAUCCUCCUUGGCUCCACCAUCUAAAACAAUCGUCGAAAGCUCAGAAAUGAAUGUUCGUGAAUGAACAUUGAUUUCUGGUCUUUGCACCAGAACUGUUCUUUAAAAAUUCGGGUAUGUGAUAGAAGUAAGACUGAAUGAUCUCUUUCACUGGUGAUCAUUCAAGUCAAGGUAAAAUUUGCGAGUUCAAGCGCGAAUUUUCGGCGAAUGUCGUCUUCACAGUAUAACCAGAUUGCUUGGGGA